CACGUAGGGUGCGAGCGUUGUCCGGAAUUAUUGGGCGUAAAGAGCUCGUAGGCGGUGUGUCGCGUCGGCCGUGAAAACCUGCAGCUUAACUGUGGGCUUGCGGUCGAUACGGGCAUCACUGGAGUUCGGCAGGGGAGACUGGAAUUCCUGGUGUAGCGGUGAAAUGCGCAGAUAUCGGGAAGAACACCCGUGGCGAAGGCGGCUCUCUGGAACGCAAC
rnacentral:rRNA from 1 species